rnacentral:rRNA from 1 species
UUUCUUCGGAAUGAAACUAGAUAUGACUUAGUGGCGGACGGGUGAGUAACACGUGAGCAACCUGCCUUUCAGAGGGGGAUAACAGAUGGAAACAUCUGCUAAUACCGCAUAAGACCACGAGAGGACAUCCUCUUGGGGUAAAAGGAGCAAUCUGGUUUGGGGUGAGCUCGCGUCCGAUUAGCUAGUUGGUGAGGUAACGGCCCACCAAGGCGACGAUCGGUAGCCGGACUGAGAGGUUGAACGGCCACAUUGGGACUGAGACACGGCCCAGACUCC